CACGGGGGGAGCAAGCGUUGUUCGGAAUCACUGGGCGUAAAGGGCGUGUAGGCGGUCAAGUAAGUGGAAUGUGAAACGCCUCGGCUUACCCGAGGACCUGCAUCCCAAACUGCUUGGCUUGAGUAUGGGAGAGGAUGAGGGAAUUCCUGGUGUAGCGGUGAAAUGCGUAGAUAUCAGGAGGAACACCGGUGGCGAAGGCGACAUCCUGGACCAACACUGACGCUGAGUGAGCGAAAGCCAGGGGAGCAAACGGG
rnacentral:rRNA from 1 species